UGUGUGUGCUGGUCGUGCCUUGCAUGCGGGCUCUAUUGCCUUUUGCAGGUUUCCCACUCAAUUUGGGACUCUUUUUUGACAUUGAUCUGGAGCUCUCAGAUGUAACAACAAUCUGGUUCCACUAGUUACAUUGUAUUAACAGAGGCAUGGUUUUGGUUGAUAUUUUCAUUACCAUUAUGAUUGCCAUUACCGUUGCCGUUAGGAUUGUGAACCAUGUUUUGGUUCACAGGCGAGAUAAAGCCGUCUACACCAAUUUUGUGAGUCUUUCGACACUUCGUUCAAGGCGAUCUUAUAAUGUCUAACGCAU
rnacentral:lncRNA from 1 species